UACGUAGGGAGCAAGCGUUGUUCGGAUUUACUGGGCGUAAAGGGCGCGUAGGCGGCAAUUCAAGUCAUCUGUGAAAUCUCCGGGCUUAACUCGGAAAGGUCAACUGAUACUGCGGGGCUAGAGUGCGGAAGGGGCAACUGGAAUUCUUGGUGUAGCGGUGAAAUGCGUAGAUAUCAGGAGGAACACCGGUGGCGAAGGCGGGUCUCUGGGCCGAUACUGACGCUGAGGAGCGAAAGCGUGGGGAGCGAACAGG
rnacentral:rRNA from 1 species